AUUGAACGCUGGCGGCAUGCUUUACACAUGCAAGUCGUGCGGCAGCGCGGGACUCAGGCAACUGAGCCCUGGCGGCGAGCGGCGAACGGGUGAGGAAUACAUCGGAACGUACCCCGGAGUGGGGGAUAACCCAGCGAAAGUUGGACUAAUACCGCAUAUGCUCUGAGGAGGAAAGCAGGGGACUUCGCAAGAGGCCUUGCGCUCUGGGAGCGGCCGAUGCCGAUUAGCUAGUUGGUGGGGUAAUGGCUCACCAAGGCGACGAUCGGUAGCUGGUCUGAGAGGAUGAUCAGCCACACUGGGACUGAGACACGGCCCAGACUCCUACGGGAGCAGCAGUGGGAAUUUGGACAAUGGGGCAACCCUGAUCCAGCCAUGCCGCGUGCGGGAAGAAGGCCU
rnacentral:rRNA from 1 species